rnacentral:tRNA from 1 species
GCCUGGGUGGCUCAGUCGGUUAAGUGUCCGACUUUGGCUCAGGUCAUGAUCUCACAGUUUGUGGGUUUGAGCCCCACUUCAAGCU